UACGGAGGGUGCAAGCGUUAAUCGGAAUUACUGGGCGUAAAGCGCACGCAGGCGGUCUGUCAAGUCGGAUGUGAAAUCCCCGGGCUCAACCUGGGAACUGCAUUCGAAACUGGCAGGCUAGAGUCUUGUAGAGGGGGGUAGAAUUCCAGGUGUAGCGGUGAAAUGCGUAGAGAUCUGGAGGAAUACCGGUGGCGAAGGCGGCCCCCUGGAUAAAGACUGACGCUCAGGUGCGAAAGCGUGGGGAGCAAACAGG
rnacentral:rRNA from 1 species